UUUUUUUUUUUUUUUUUUUUUUGUCUUUUUGCUAUUUCUUUGGGCCACUCCCACGGCAUAUGGAGGUUCCCAGGUUAGGGGUCGAAUUGGAGCUGUAGCCGCCGGCCUACGCCAGAGCCACAGCAAUGCGGGAUCCAAGCCGCGUCUGCCUACACCACAGCUCACGGCAACGCCAGAUCGUUAACCCACUGAGCAAGGGCAGGGACCAACCCCGCAACCUUAUGGUUCCUAGUCGGAUUCGUUAACCACUGCACCACGACGGGAACUCCGCCAAACACCAUUUGACAUAAAAUUGCGCAAUGAUUUUUUGGACCCGUCUCCUAAAGUAAAAAAUAAAAGUCAAAAUAAACAAAUGGAGCUCAAUUAAACUUUAAAGUUUUUGCACAGCAAAAGAAACCCAUCAACAAAAUGAAAAGACAAAUGACUGGAAUGGGAGAAAAUACUUGCACAUGAUAUGACCAAUAAGGGGUUAAAUAUCCAACAUAUAUAAACAGCUAUAUAACUCAUCCAAACAAAAAACCCAAUCAAAAAAUGGGCAGAAGAAAUGAAGAGACAUUUUUUCCAAAAAGGAAAUGCAGAUGGCUAACAGGCACAUGAAAGGAUGCUCAAUAUCACUAAUGAUCAGGGAAAUGUAAAUCAAAACAACGAGAUACUACCUCAGGUACACCUGUCCAAAUGGCUAUCAUCAAAAAGAACACGAGCAACAAAUGUUGGCAAAGCUGUUCAAAGAAAGGAACCCUUCCUACACUGUUGGUUAGAAUAUUAACUAGUCGAGCCUCUGUGGAAAACAGUGUGGAGAUUUCCCAAAAAUCUAAAUAUAGAACUACAUACGAUUCAGCAAUUCCACUCCUGGUAUAUAUCUGAUAAAAAUUUUUUUAAAAAUUCAAAAAGAUACAUGCAUCUCAAUGUAUUUCAUAGUAGCAUUAUUUAUAACUGCCAAGACAUGGAAGCAAUCUAAUAUGUACAACAGAAUACUACUCAGCCGUAAAAAAAUGACAAAAUGUUGCCAUUUGCAGCAACAUGGAUAGCAUUUGGAGAGCAUUUUGCUAAGUGAAAUUAAGUUAGAAGCAUAUGAAUACUACACGAUAUCACUUAUAUGUGAGAUCUUAAAAAUACAACAAAUUUGUGAACCUAACACAAAAAACAGCAGACUCAUACAGAAUAAACGAGUGGCUGCUGGCAGAGGGGAGGGCAAAAUAGGGUGGGGGAAUAAGUACAAAUUAUUGGGUGUAAGACAGGCUACAAGGAUGUACUACUGUACAACAUGGAAAAUUUAGCAAAUCAUAUUUUCUCAGUGCUGUAAAAGGAACUUACAAAUUGGCCCAACUCAACUCACCCCUCAGUUAAAAUGAACUACAAUCAGAGAUAUUAAAGAAGUCACGCAACUAAUCAGGAACAAGGCCUGGUCCCAAACCUAAAUCAUAGCCCAGUGACUUUUCCCUACUAUAUCAAUCUGAGAGAAAAACAGGUUUUUUUAUAUGUAUAUAUACACACACACACAUUUUUUUUUUUUUUUUUUUGGUUUUUUUAGGGGUCACACCUGCAACAUAUGGAAGUUCCCAGGCUCAAGGCUGAAUUGGAGCUGCAGCUGUGGCCUAUGCUACAGCCACAGCAAUACCUGAUCCAAACCGCAUCUGCAACCUAGACUGCAGGCUUGCAGCAACGCCUGAUCCUUAACCCACUGAGCAAGGCCAGGGAUUAAACCCACAUCCUCACAGAGACAAUGUUGGAUCCUUAAUCUGCUGAGCCACAAUGGUAACUCCUCCUCUAAGAUUAAAUCUUGCAUUAGUAUGGUAUAUCUGUUACAAAUAACAAACAAAUGUUAAUACAAUAUUAUUAACUAAAGUCCAUAGUUUACAACAGGGUUCACUCUUCAUGUUAUACAUUCUCAGAGUCUUGACAAAUGUAUCAUGUGCAUCUACCAUUACAGAACCAUCCCGAACAGUUUCACUGCCCUAAAAAUCCCAUGCUCCACCUAUUCAACUCUCCCUUCUCCAAAUGUCACAUAGUUGAAAUCAUACAGUAUGUGGCCUUUUCAUACAGGCUUUUUUUACUUAGCAAUAUGACUUACGAUUCCUCCAUGUCAUUUUUAUCACUGAAAAAUAUUCCACUGUCUCCAUGUACCACAGCUUGUUCAUCCAUAUACCUCCUGAAGGACAUCUUGGUUGCUUCUAAGUUUUGGCAAUCAUAAAUAAAGCUGUUACAGGAGUUUCUGUUGUGGCUCAGUAGGUUAAGGAACCCACAGGGAUUCCUAGCCUGGCUCAGUGGGUUAAGGAUACAGUGUUGCUGCAAGCCGCAGCACAGGUCACUGAUGCGACCCAGAUCCAGUGUGGCUAUGGCUGUGCCAGAGACCAGCAGCUGCAACUCCAAUUCAAACUCUAGCCUGGGAACUUCCAUAAACUGCAACUGCAGCCAUAAAAAGAAAAAAAAGGAAAAAAACACUGCCAUAAACAUCCAUGUGCAGGUUUUUGUCUAGACGUAAGUUUUCAACCCAAAUAUUUAGGAUUUUUUUUCUUCUUAGGGCCACGCCUGCAGCAUAUGGAAGUUUCCAGGCUAGGGGUAGAAUCAGAGCUACAGCUGCCUGCCUACGCCACAGCCACACAGGAUCCAAGCCACGUCUGCAAUCUACACCACAGCUCAUGGCAACACUGGAUCCUUAAUCCACCGAGCGAAGCUAGUGAUCAAACCUACAACCUCAUGGUCAAUAGUUGGAUUUGUUUCCACUGCACCAUAACGUGAACUCCAAGGAUUUUUUUCUGAAAUGCAAUUAGGAGGAAAAAAAUUUAUUUUUAUUUAUUUAUUUAUUUAUUUGUCUUUUUGCCAUUUCUUGGGCCUCUCUCGCAGCAUAUGGAGGUUCCCAGGCUAGGGGUCUAAUCAGAGCUGUAGCCGCUGGCCUACACCAAAGCCACAGCAACGUGGGAUCCUUAACCUACUGAGCGAGGCCAGGGAUCGAACGCACAACCUCAUGGUUCCUAGACGGAUUCGUUAACCACUGAGACACGACGGGAACUCCAAAUUAGGAGAAAAUAUUAAAAAUUUAAAAAUU
ensembl:lncRNA